GCCCCCUGCUGGUGCCAGAUUAUUGUCUAGCACCUUCUAUAGGAUUUACUUGUGUCAUUCCACUAUGUGUCUUCAUUUCUUUUAGGAAUGAUCCCUCCUCAUCCGCCCCUGCAGAAUCCUUGUAUCAACAAGCACACUACAAACAAAGCUAAACUUAUAAAAUAAGCAUAUCGGAAGACAGAACCUUUCAAACAAUUACCUAAAAUUACCUCUUUGCUAGAAAUGCUAAUUUUCUUUAACGUUCUUUUUGGAUCAGCUCCAGAGCAGUUGCACAUCUCCUUAGCAUGUCGAUUUAAGUGCUGCUUGAACAGGUGUGACUCUGUACUCACCGAGUUCAGAAUAUUUCCAUUCCUGGGCAAGAUGCCAUUUUUUCGUACUUUGUCUAAACUCCUAAUAUAGAUUUUAUUAUGACAAGGUGCAAGAUGUCAUGUUACAGGCUCUCAAAUCUUUUCCGCUAGAAGCCGUUCAAACCUUGCGUUAUUCUCUCUGAUUUUAUUAGGGGCUGGUUUGUGCC